rnacentral:rRNA from 1 species
UUCCGGUUGAUCCUGGAAGACCUGACUGCUAUCGGAUUGGUACUAAGCCAUGUGAGUCAUUGUAGCAAUACAAGGCAUACGGCUCAGUAACACGUAGUCAAUCUGCCCUAUGGACGUGGAUAACCUCGGGAAACUGAGAAUAAUCCGCGAUAGAUCAUAAUGCCUGGAACGGUUUAUGGUCCAAAUGAUUCGUCGCCAUAGGAUGGGACUGCGGCCUAUCAGCUUGUUGGUGAGGUAAUGGCCCACCAAGGCUAUUACAGGUACGGGCUCUGAGAGGAGAAGCCCGGAGAUGGGUACUGAGACACGGACCCAGGCCCUAUGGGGCGCAGCAGGCGAGAAACCUUUGCAAUGUGCGCAAGCACGACAAGGUUAAUCCGAGUGUUUCCUGCUAAAGGAAUCUUUUGUUAGUUCUAAAACCACUGAUGAAUAAGGGGUGGGCAAGUUCUGGUGUCAGCCGCCGCGGUAAAACCAGCACCUCAAGUGGUCAGGAGGAUUAUUGGGCCUAAAGCAUCCGUAGCCGGUUCUGUAAGUUUCCGGUUAAAUCCACUAGCUCAACUAAUGGGCUGCCGGAAAUACUGCAGAACUAGGGAGUGGGAGAGGUAGACGGUACUCGGGAGGAAGGGGUAAAAUCCUUUGAUCUCUUGAUGACCACCUGUGGCGAAGGCGGUCUACCAGAACACGUUCGACGGUGAGGGAUGAAAGCUGGGGGAGCAAACCGGAUUAGAUACCCGGGUAGUCCCAGCUGUAAACNAUGCAGACUCGGUGAUGCACUGGCUUUUGGCCAGUGCAGUGCCGCAGGGAAGCCGUUAAGUUUGCCGCCUGGGAAGUACGUACGCAAGUAUGAAACUUAAAGGAAUUGGCGGGGGACACAA